CAAUAGCGUAUAUUAAAGUUGUUGCAGUUAAAAAGCUCGUAGUUGGAUUUGUGGCUUGUGCGUGCGGCCCGCAUUCGUGCGGUGUUUGCUAGCACAGCCAUCCUUGGGUGGAAUCUGUGUGGCAUUAGGUUGUCGUGCAGGGGAUGCCCAUCGUUUACUGUGAAAAAAUUAGAGUGUUCAAAGCAGGCUUACGCCGUUGAAUAUAUUAGCAUGGAAUAAUAAGAUAGGACCUUGGUACUAUUUUGUUGGUUUGCGCACUGAGGUAAUGAUUAAUAGGGACAGUUGGGGGUAUUCGUAUUCCAUUGUCAGAGGUGAAAUUCUUGGAUUUUUGGAAGACGAACUACUGCGAAAGCAUUUACCAAGGAUGUUUUCAUUAA
rnacentral:rRNA from 1 species